GGCGCAGNCGUUAUCCGGAAUUAUUGGGCGUAAAGAGCUCGUAGGCGGUUUGUCGCGUCUGCUGUGAAAUCCCGAGGCUCAACCUCGGGCCUGCAGUGGGUACGGGCAGACUAGAGUGCGGUAGGGGAGAUUGGAAUUCCUGGUGUAGCGGUGGAAUGCGCAGAUAUCAGGAGGAACACCGAUGGCGAAGGCAGAUCUCUGGGCCGUAACUGACGCUGAGGAGCGAAAGGGUGGGGAGCAAACAGGCUUAGAUACCCUGGUAGUCCACCCCGUAAACGUUGGGAACUAGUUGUGGGGACCAUUCCACGGUUUCCGUGACGCAGCUAACGCAUUAAGUUCCCCGCCUGGGGAGUACGGCCGCAAGGCUAAAACUCAAAGGAAUUGACGGGGACCCGCACAAGCGGCGGAGCAUGCGGAUUAAUUCGAUGCAACGCGAAGAACCUUACCAAGGCUUGACAUACACCAGAACACCGUAGAAAUACGGGACUCUUUGGACACUGGUGAACAGGUGGUGCAUGGUUGUCGUCAGCUCGUGUCGUGAGAUGUUGGGUUAAGUCCCGCAACGAGCGCAACCCUCGUUCUAUGUUGCCAGCACGUAAUGGUGGGAACUCAUGGGAUACUGCCGGGGUCAACUCGGAGGAAGGUGGGGAUGACGUCAAAUCAUCAUGCCCCUUAUGUCUUGGGCUUCACGCAUGCUACAAUGGCCGGUACAAAGGGCUGCAAUACCGUGAGGUGGAGCGAAUCCCAAAAAGCCGGUCCCAGUUCGGAUUGAGGUCUGCAACUCGACCUCAUGAAGUCGGAGUCGCUAGUAAUCGCAGAUCAGCAACGCUGCGGUGAAUACGUUCCCGGGUCUUGU
rnacentral:rRNA from 1 species